GCCUUGCCCACGGAUCUCCUCCGCUUGAUGACACGGCGGCCCUAGCGGCGGCUCGGGACUCCUGCUCUGGAGUUUCGUGCAACAAUGUGGCUUAUUGAGGGGCUGCCGGCUCGCGGGCCUCCCGCUUCCAGGUCACGGCCAUGCCUCCGGAUCUCACUUAGAGUCACAGGGAGUCAAGUAUCCAUGAGAUGGGGCUGCCCAAUGCUUCCAAGUCUUCCUUGAGAAGAGCCCGCCACUGCCUCUUUGAGCUGUCAUCAGUUGCCAUGGGACCCACCCAACACCCAGAGACCUGUCUCAAGGAGUCCAUGGGAUGGUUCCAAUGUAUCCUGGAUUGGGAUGACCAGCAGGCCUCAGGGAGAACUGAAACACCCCUAGCUUUGCUUACUAAGCGUAUGCCAGCAUCUCUCUGUGGAUCUGAUGUUCAUACUCUUCAAUAGAGAGGAUUUGUUUGGGCUUGUUUGUCCCAACCAACAUGGGUCCCUGUACUGAGUUAAGUUUUUCACCGGGCCACCUCCCAUGGGUUGAGCUCCAUGAUAUCCAAUCUAAACCUGGUUGCCUUUAGUAUGGAUGAUGAUCCCCAUUUCAGUCAGUCACUGUGAUGGAAAUGAGGUUCGUUUCCCUCACGGUACAGGCCUGGACCACUACAACAAAUGCAGCCUCCAUCUGAGCCCUCUGGUCUCUGAAGGGGCUGAGGAUUCAGACCCUUUUCGAGCAUUGGCUUAAAGUAACUACAGUUCCUGGUCCCAUAUUCAUGGCUGUUGCUACAAUUCAUCCUCAUCUGAACGUGCCGAAGUGUGAAUCUUCAGUCUGUCAAGGUUAUAAAGUGACAAUGAUGAAGGAUCACUGGAAGGCAGGCAGACAGGGACAAGCCCCCUGCCCCCAAGAGGAAAACUGCCCUUAAAAGGAUUUUACACCGCCUUGGAAGGAGCCCUCCACCCUUUCCCAUUUGAUAGAUAGGUGACAAAAAUCUGACUGGAUGAUGGGCGCAGGGAGGGUUCAUCCUUAUAAGCCCAUAAAAACCCCUAGCCAUAGACGCUCCAGUGGCAACCCCUUCGGGUCCCCUCCUUCCUUGGGAGCUUUGUACUAUCACUUUGCUAUCGCUCAAUAAACCUUGUGUUGCUGCCCACCACUCAGUCCAGUCUGCCUCUACAUUCUUCGAAGUGGCAUGACCAAGAACCAUGGCAACUGACAGAGAAAAAAAUCCUGCAACAACAAGACUGGUGGUUUAGAAGGACCUUCAACGGCCUCAUAAAAUCUUUCCCUGGGGUAUGUAGUUGCUCUAUUUUACAACUCCUAUCUGCCAAGUUCUAUAUGUAUUUUGUUUCUCUCAAAUUUGAGAAAACUCUUUAGGAAAGUUUCUGAACAUUCCUCAUACACCUCUUAAUUAUGGGCUCAGCCUCUGGGUCCAAGUAAAUAAGACUGAUCCAGUUUCACAAAAUUUCAAGCUAGUCAGGAACCAGAGAGCUUUGAGGUUAAAACAAAGUAGCUUGAAGACCUGAUUGGUGAAGGAUCGUUAGACUAACCACAUACAGACAAGCGGAACUUCCCUUUAGGGUCGAACUUCAGAUACAAAACUCAGAUCUUUUGAGACAUUUUAAAGAAUGCCAGUGUAAUAGAAGAUUCCACCUUUGAGGUCAACCAGAAAAGUCACCUAUGUUUUGUGGGCCCAAUAGAGGAAAGAGAUAGGGAGUGAAGGGUUUUUGUCA